UAAUACCAGAAUCAAAGAGCAUAAAAAUGCAAUUCGCAAUUUUAAAGCAAACACAUAUACAGACACUUCUGUAUCCAGACAUUUUUCUGAGGCAAGGCACAACGUCUGCCAACUAAAGUGGAAAGUAUUGGAAGUUGUUCCUAAAAUGUCCAAAGGGGGUGAUAGAAAUAAUCUGCUACUCCAAAGAGAGUCCCGUUGGAUUAAUCGAUUAGAUAGCACGUACCCCAAAGGAAUGAAUGAACAGCUCAACUUGGCUUGUUUCUUAUAACUUGUUUCUUAUAACUUGUUUAUUAUUGUUUACCUUAGUGCUAAUUCACAAUUUACUUUCUUCACAGAUUAUUCUGACAGCCAGUUAGUGGCCGGUUUAACGGAUCUCCUGCCGUAUAAGCAUUGUGGAUGUUCCUACACCAGUGGUUCAAUUUGGACUUCACUACCACACCUGGACACGAUGAACUCUAACUAUAUUGUUUCACCUGUUGCUUAUGUGAAUACUUAAUUGAUUAAUAGGGUCUGCACCCACAAUGCAACCCUUAAGGUGAAAGGUCAUUGUUUGUUUAAAUGUUCCCUUUUGCACUGUUCAUGCACACUUGAUAAAGGGCCUUGCCCGAAACAUGUAGUGUGCUGUUCACUACCCCAAUAAAGAUACACUUGCAGACUCA